GUAUAAUGAUGAGAAAAAUUGGUCCGUGUUUCUGAGCAGACUCAAGACCUGCCAAUGCAGACGACACAAAGCACUCUGUGCACCUCUGAACAU
rnacentral:snoRNA from 1 species